GCAGGUCCUUUCCCUCCGCACAGCCUUCCAGCCGCUCUGCCCCAAGCCUGCAGCGCUGCGUGGGGUUGUUGUGGCCCAAGUGCAGGACCCGGCACUCGGUCUUGUUGCACUCCAUCCCAUUGGCCUCAGCCCAGCCAUCAGCCUGUCCAGGUCCCUCUGUAGGGCCUGCCUGCCCUCAGGCACGUCGGCACUUCCCCCGACGUGGUGUCUGCAGACUUACUGAGGAUGCACUCAAUGCCCUCAUCCACAUAAUCAGAAAAGGUAUUAAACAGGAGGGGCCCCAAUACCAACCCCUGGGGAACACCACUGUGGCCGAUCACCAGCUGGAUGCAGCUCCAUUCACCACCACUCUCUGGGCCCGGCCCUCCAGCCAGUUCUAUGCCCAGCAAUGAGUGCACCUUUCCCAGCUGUGAGCUGCAGCUUCUCCAGGAGAAUACUAUGGGAAACCGAAACUGUGUCAAAAGCUUUGCUGUAGGCUACAUCAGCAGCCUUUCCCUCACCCACCAGGUGGGUCACCCGGUCAUGGAAGGAGACCAGGUGCCCCGUGUUGCCAUUGGGGGUGGUUGCAUUGAGCCCCAAGAGCCACUGCUGGGAAUAGCCCUGCUCCUGCUCACUGCAGGCUCCAGGCAGUGGUCACAGUGCCCAAAUUCUGCCAGCAGUACAGGAAAAGGGCAAAACCCCCAACUGCUAUUUCCCAGAGGGCACACUCACAACAGAAGGGUCUUGGAACAGAUUUCUCUCUCUUGGCUUUUCUAUUUUUUUUUUUCUUUUCUUAAAGAGCUCUUUUGAAGGGGAUAGUUUGGAGUAAAGAAGAGUUUAGACAGAUCUGAUUCCCCUAUCUCAGACAAACACACUCGCCUUUCCCUGACUGCAAAUCAACAGGACAUGUUCGAAGGAAAGAUCAUCGCGAAAGAAAUGGAUUUUCCCCCUACUGCUUUGCCAUUUUUGCUUGUAUUUCUGAAAGCUGGAGUGAUGGGUUGUGAACUUUAAGGAGCGAUUUCUAUUCUUCUCUCUCGUCUGACAUGUGGGCAGAGGGACUGCGGACCUGAAUAACGAGACAGGACUUAAACACCUUGGGGGAGCGAGGCAGCAUCCUCUCGCCUUUGAAAGCUGCCUUUACUUCCCAGCCUUGCAGCAGGAAAUUGUGUUCUGGGCAGGAGACGGCUGCCUGCAGAGACCGGGGCUGCAGGGACUGACAAUCCUACCCAUAAUAGUUGGACUCGAUGGUCUUUUCCAGCCUGAGUCUAUGAUUCUAUAAGCUCCUGGGUGCAGCUUGGGGCCCCACUGUGGGGCUGAGGCUGUGCACAGGUGGCAGUGGGGUGGCUGGGGGAGCUGCUGAGCCCUGGGUGGGUGCUGUGCAUCACGGGGUGCUAGGUGUGGGGAGAUGAGCACAGCUGCAGCACAGGUUUCAUCCGCUAAUUGCAGCGAGCGAUAAACGCGCAGCAAUCCAAGUGUUAUAAUGGCGACAUUUAAUUAAUACCGAACAACUCUGGAGCUCAUAUGGAUUUAUCCAUUAGAUCCACAUUAACGUGAGAUAAUCUGAUCGUGGUAAUGUUAAGGCAACAAACACUGGAGGGGAGUGCAGGUGGGUGUGCAGCUCCACGUGGCCCUCACCGCUGGGCACAUGCAGGGCAUGGGGGGAGCUGAGAGGGGGUACCACCCUGCAUGGCCUGGAGAGGGUGGUUGAGUCACUGCGCCUGCAUGGCCUCGUUCACCACUCUUAUGCUCUGCUGAUACAGUUCUUUACAGCCAAGUGAGGGACGGUGUGGAUGCAUUUGCAGCCCCCAGUCCUCGGGAGGGUGUGGGGUUGGGUGUUGUACCCAAGCAGGUGGGCUGGCAGCUAUCUCUUCCUGCCUGGAAAGCAAUGCUGAUCACAGACAAUACAAACUGAGUCAUGGGCUCAUCAAAAGAGCUGCAGCAACGGAGGGGUGGCAGCAGGGAGAGGAGAGGGAGGGGGUUGUGCCCCUCUGCUCUGCCCCUGGAAGGCCCCACCUGCAGUGCUGUGCCCAGGCCUGGGGCCCCCAGGACAGGAGGGAUGCGGAGCUGCUGGAGCGGGUCCAGAGGAGGGCACGAGGAUGCUCAGAGGGCUGCAGCACCUCUGCUGUGAAGAGAAGAGAAGGCUGCAGGGAGACCUCUUUGUGACCUGCCAGUACUUGAAGGGAGCUUACAAGCAGGAGUGGGAGCGACGGUGUACACGAUCUGAUAGUGACAGGACAAGGGGGAAUGACUUUAGGCUGCAAGAGGGGACAUGUUGGUUCAACGGCAUAAAUGGGAGAGCCACAAACCAAGGCAGAAAUGGGGGAAUCAGACAGGAAGCCACUGUGUGCAAUCCUGCCUCCCGUCCCGUGCGGUCUGCAAGCUGAAGGGGCUCAGUGCUGUGCUCGGGUGCUCCAUGUCCCUGAGUGCCCACUCCCAGCAAAGACCUUCAUGGGAGAAAGAGAAGCUCCUGAAGUUUCAGAGCUCCGCCUCAGUGGAGCUUUCUGUACAGAAAGAAAGCAUUCCCCCACCCAAGCCCUUCAGUCUUUUGAGUUUUGUAUUAAACACUCAUUAUACCUUUGGUGUGACAAAUGAUUGAAAAGUGUAAUAUGAAAGCUAAGCUCCCCAUCACACUCUUCCCUAUUGUUUAUUUGCCAGCUCUGAAUGGGUUGACUGCCAAGUAAAGUAAUCAGAAGGUAAUAGCCUGAUAUCGGAUGAAUCCCCAGAGCUGCCAGCAAGCUGGAAAACUACAAUCUCGGUGCCGCCUGCAGUAUUCAUGCACUGAAAAUAAUUGUGUAAAACACUGUCGCUGGGCUCAAACUUGGGCUGACAUUUUGCAUUGUAAGAUUUGCGUUCAGCUCGGUCUGAUGUGGUUAUUAGUAACUUGCUUGGGGGCACGACAGCCCAAAGUGUCUCACGGAGGGAUGUCGCGAUUCAUUUGCCUGUGGAGAUAAGACGGCGUCUUCCCCAACCCAACGGCGUAUCUUUAUUGUCGUCCCCUCCCUCCUCCAACCCUCCUCUCUUCCCCCUUCUCGCCGCGCUCCUUGCAAAGCGCUGAUUUUAUUGAGUGUGGCAAGUGGCAGUUCAUUAAAAAGUGGGAGCAGAUGGGGAAGGGAUUGUAGAAGAAGAUUAAUGAUGCACACCGACAACUAAAUAGGCCCAGGUUUCCGAGUAAACACAAUCACGUUGGCUUCCUGGGAGUGGGUAAUCCUCCUCUGUCAGCUCCGUUCUGGUUAACAGCCGUGGAGGAGCUCGGGAGAGCUGAUGGGAAGGGCUGGGUGCCACCUCGCCCCAAAGCACCCGCAGUUCUGUGUGUGUGGCUCUGCAGGGAUGGACGUGGGGCCAGGCAGGGUGGGUGGCAGCGAUGGGCAGGAGCCGCUGUCAGCGGGACACCAAGGAGCUGGGUGCUCAUGAGGAGCACUGAAGCUGUCAGAAGGCUCUUUCCCCCACCGUGACAAAGUUCACCUUUCCCCACCUGCUCUGCUUGUCUCGGAGUCGUGGUCUCCUUUCGUUUUUCUGACAGUGCUGACCUAUCCAGCAAGCUCCGCUUCCCCGCUAAUAGAAAGGCCAUACACCAGCGAGCAUCCGUGCCGCUUGAUUUAAAUACAGGGUACAUUUGUCUUUCAGCAGGACGGCUGCUUCCUGCCAGCGUCCCCUCCGCAGGACAAGCCUUUCAUUAUUGAUGGAACUGUAAUUUCGCUGCAAUUCACACAAAAGCGCUCGACACCUCCGUUCAGCAGGGAGGGGGCCGAGGUGGGGCUCACUGCGCCGUGUGCGUGUCGGUGUGGGGCGCCACCAUAUAUCCCCAUAUAUCCCCACUGGGUGGGACGGCUCGACCCCACAUGGGGGCUGCCACCCCUUCGGUCCCAACCACAUGGCCACGCGGGGAUGACCAGCGCAGCCACCACGAGGGGUGUAAAUAAUUUAAUAACAGAAUGUGGGAAACGAUACCAUCCUAAAUAAUAUAAUAAACCCUCAUUUACUCGCAUUUAUCUCCCGGAGUUUUGGGCUUUUUUUUCUUUUUUUUUUUUUUCCCUGAAAGCAGUAAUCUUGCAUCUUCCGCCGUGAUGGAUUAGCAGGAAGGAAACUCCGCUGGGGAAUAAAAACCCACAUCGUGUAGUUUUUGACAUGUUAUUAUUCAGUUUUAUCUCGGGUUGCUCGUUCCCGGCCCAUUACUCAUGUUCACGGGGAGUUUUCUCCCCCCUUAUUUAUUUAUUUUCACCGUGACCAGAAGCAGGGAUGCCAACAGAUCCAACCUCCUUGGCGCCGAGGGAUGGGGCGGUGGGCACACGGUGGGGUUGGGGACGUUGCCACUGCUCCUCAGCAGCUGGAAGGGGAGGGAUACGGCUUAAUUAAUCCGUGAUUCUCUCGUUGGUUUAAUUAAUACUAUAGGUCUUGUUAUUUCCAAGGCACUUGGGGAGCUGCUUCUAGGGGAAGGGGCUGGGGGUGUUUUGGAGGCGAUGUGGGGUGACUCUCCUUCCCUUUCUGAUGCUCUGCUGAGUGCUUGCAGUCAUUAACUCAGGCAACAUGGGAGUCCUCGGUUGGUAGCUUUAAUUAUUUGCUAAAACUCCAUCUUUGUUGCUUAUUUGUCGUUAUGCAUGGCGCCACCAAGGAUGCAAUGCCCCGUAGCUCUUCCUUUGGAGGGAAGGAUUUUUGGCUGCGUUGCCUCAAGUCACCAAGAGGUUAUGAAAUAAUUGCAAAUUCUGUGAGUAACUCCGGGGUUGGUGGCUCUCCCCAUUACCACCACUGCUUUGUUUGCUCCUCAGCUUCAAAGAAAACUUGGAAGAGCGGGGAGCAGCCAGGGGCUGGAGCUCACGGGGCAGGGAGCAGGCAGAGUGCUGGGUACCCCAUCCUGCUUGGGCAAAGCAUGUGCAGAAAGCCCUGCAGGUGGGUCUGCCUAUCUGUUGGUCAGUCCGCCUGUCCAAGCUGUGCAGCACCUCCGUGUCCCUUUGCAUUCACCCCCCGGCUGCAGGGAUGCACUGAUGUAGGCGGGCUGGGGGGACACUGGAAGGAAUCCAAAGCGCAAUAAAUAUAACACAAACACAAAGCUCAUCUGGUUGUACAAAGCAGGGCUGCUUUAAUUCCUCCUCCAGCGAUGCCAGCCCAAUAGCAGCCGCAGUCCUGACACCACAGGCGGUGUCCCAGGGGCUCUGCUCCUCUGCUGCCAAAUGAGUGCUCCUGCUCUCAUCAACGUGCUUAGCAAAAAAAAUACUAACCCAAAGCAACUCUAGCACUGAGUUAGCAGGACGCAGGCUGGGCCUUUGCAUAAGGGAAGGCUUGCUGAGGGGAAAGCUGAUGGCUGAGUCACGCAGGUGGGCUUCUGCCCAUCUCCCCCCCUCAGCAUCCUUUGGUAGCUGCCAGCUUUGCUGCGUCCAAACUUUCCACCCUGCGCACAAUUAGCCAGACAACAAACUCCGUGUUUGACUUUCCCUGUCUAAAUUUGCUUAGCUCGAGCUGGAAGCUGCAGUAAGUAAACGAUUUUCUGUUUAUAUUCAGCACUAAUGAAGAGGCAGCAAACGCUGCCCAUUAAUAACGCAGGAGAUGAUGGUGUUUGCAGAGGGCCUGUAUACAACAUGUCAUACUUACCGGCGAGCUCCCGACCGGCUAUUGAUUUCCCAAUAAGCACGGCCCUGUUGGUUGUGGCUGCAUUUGUUUUCUUCCAGGAGGAAAUCAUCUGUGCUGGAGAGGACUGGGACAACCGUGCAGCAGAUGCUGGAGGGUGCUGGCACGUCCCUGGGAUGUGCUGGUGCAUAACUGACACCCGUCAUGGGAUCCUGCUCCAGGCAGGUCCAGACAGCCUGGAGAAGAACUCGUUGAGAGCAGCCCUGCGGAGAAGGACUUGGGGGUCCCGAUGGACAGAAGCGGGACAUGAGGCAGCAGUGUGCGCCUGCAGCCCGGAAGGCCGACAGUCCCCUGGGCUGCAGCAACAGAGGGGUGGCAGCAGGGAGAGGAGAGGGAGGGGGUUGUGCCCCUCUGCUCUGCCCCUGGAAGGCCCCACCUGCAGUGCUGUGCCCAGGCCUGGGGCCCCCAGGAGAGGAGGGAUGCGGAGCUGCUGGAGCGGGUCCAGAGGAGGGCACGAGGAUGCUCAGAGGGCUGCAGCACCUCUGCUGUGAAGACAGGCUGAGGGGGUGGCUUCUCUCCUACAAGAGGGGAGGCAUUGGUUAGAUGUGAGGGCAAUGAGGCGCUGGUACUGCUGCCCGGAGAGCUGUGGGUGCCCCAUCCCUGCAGGCACUCAAGGCCAGGUGGGAUGGGGCCCUGGGCAGCCUGAGCUGGUGGGGGGCAGCCCUGCCCAUGGCCGGGGGUGGCACUGGGUGGGCUUUGAGGUCCCUCCAACCUGAGC
ensembl:lncRNA